CCUACGGGAGGCAGCAGUGGGGAAUCUUGCGCAAUGGGCGAAAGCCUGACGCAGCAACGCCGCGUGCGGGAAGAAGGCUUUCGGGCUGUAAACCGCUUUCAGCAGGAACGAAAAUGACGGUACCUGCAGAAGAAGGAGCGGCCAACUAUGUGCCAGCAGCCGCGGUGAUACAUAGGCUUCAAGCGUUGUCCGGAUUUAUUGGGCGUAAAGAGUUCGUAGGCGGUCGAGUAAGUCGGGUGUGAAAAUUCUGGGCUCAACCCAGAGACGCCACCCGAUACUGCUUGACUUGAGUUCGAUAGGGGAGUGGGGAAUUCCUAGUGUAGCGGUGAAAUGCGCAGAUAUUAGGAGGAACACCGGUGGCGAAGGCGCCACUCUGGAUCGAUACUGACGCUGAGGAACGAAAGCAUGGGUAGCAAACAGGAUUAGAUACCCUGGUAGUCCAUGCCGUAAACGGUGGGCACUAGGUGUGGGUUUCUAUUAACGAAAUCCGCGCCGUCGCUAACGCAUUAAGUGCCCCGCCUGGGGAGUACGGUCGCAAGCUAAAACUCAAAGGAAUUGACGGCUGAGACGNGCGAGACGACGACGAGGAGAG
rnacentral:rRNA from 1 species